AGCAGCCGCGGUAAUUCCAGCUCCAAUAGCGUAUAUUAAAGUUGUUGCAGUUAAAAAGCUCGUAGUUGAAUUUCGGGAUUGACGUGAUGGUCGUGCCUUAAGGGGUAUGAACUGUCGCAGUUGAUUUCUCACCUUCUGGAGAAGCAUGAUGUCCUUAAUUGGGUGUCAUGUGGAACCAGGACCUUUACCUUGAAAAAAUUAGAGUGUUUAAAGCAGGCAUUUUGCUCGAAUACAUUAGCAUGGAAUAAUAGAAUAGGACGGCAUGGUUCUAUUUUGUUGGUUUCUAGGAUCACCGUAAUGAUUAAUAGGGAUAGUUGGGGGCAUUAGUAUUCAAUUGUCAGAGGUGAAAUUCUUGGAUUUAUUGAAGACUAACUACUGCGAAAGCAUUUGCCAAGGAUGUUUUCAUUAAUCAAGAACGAAAGUUAGGGGAUCGAAGACGAUCAGAUACCGUCGUAGUCUUAACCAUAAACUAUGCCGACUAGGAAUCAGACGAUGUUAAUUUUUAAUGACUUCGG
rnacentral:rRNA from 1 species